rnacentral:rRNA from 1 species
UACGUAGGGUGCAAGCGUUGUCCGGAAUUAUUGGGCGUAAAGAGCUCGUAGGCGGUUUGUCGCGUCUGCUGUGAAAACCCGAGGCUCAACCUCGGGCCUGCAGUGGGUACGGGCAGACUAGAGUGCGGUAGGGGAGAAUGGAAUUCCUGGUGUAGCGGUGGAAUGCGCAGAUAUCAGGAGGAACACCGAUGGCGAAGGCAGAUCUCUGGGCCGUUACUGACGCUGAGGCACGAAAGCCAGGGGAGCAAACGGG